AAUUAUUGGGCGUAAAGAGCUCGUAGGCGGUUUGUCGCGUCUGCUGUGAAAGCCCGGGGCUCAACCCCGGGUCUGCAGUGGGUACGGGCAGACUAGAGUGCAGUAGGGGAGACUGGAAUUCCUGGUGUAGCGGUGAAAUGCGCAGAUAUCAGGAGGAACACCGAUGGCGAAGGCAGGUCUCUGGGCUGUUACUGACGCUGAGGAGCGAAAGCAUGGGGAGCGAACAGGAUUAGAUACCCUGGUAGUCCAUGCCGUAAACGUUGGGCACUAGGUGUGGGGGACAUUCCACGUUUUCCGCGCCGUAGCUAACGCAUUAAGUGCCCCGCCUGGGGAGUACGGCCGCAAGGCUAAAACUCAAAGGAAUUGACGGGGGCCCGCACAAGCGGCGGAGCAUGCGGAUUAAUUCGAUGCAACGCGAAGAACCUUACCAAGGCUUGACAUUCACCGGACCGCCCCAGAGAUGGGGUUUCCCUUCGGGGCUGGUGGACAGGUGGUGCAUGGUUGUCGUCAGCUCGUGUCGUGAGAUGUUGGGUUAAGUCCCGCAACGAGCGCAACCCUCGUUCUAUGUUGCCAGCACGUGAUGGUGGGGACUCAUAGGAGACUGCCGGGGUCAACUCGGAGGAAGGUGGGGAUGACGUCAAAUCAUCAUGCCCCUUAUGUCUUGGGCUUCACGCAUGCUACAAUGGCCGGUACAAAGGGUUGCGAUACUGUGAGGUGGAGCUAAUCCCAAAAAGCCGGUCUCAGUUCGGAUUGAGGUCUGCAACUCGACCUCAUGAAGUCGGAGUCGCUAGUAAUCGCAGAUCAGCAACGCUGCGGUGAAUACGUUCCCGGGCCUUGUACACACCGCCCGUCAAGUCACGAAAGUUGGUAACACCCGAAGCCGGUGGCCUAACCCCUUGUGGG
rnacentral:rRNA from 1 species